GAGCGUGUAGCUCAGUUGGUAGAGCGUUCGCUUAGCAUGCGAAAGGUCUUGGGUUCGAUUCCCAACUCGUCCA
rnacentral:tRNA from 1 species